GUGCCAGCAGCCGCGGUAAUACGUAGGUGGCAAGCGUUGUCCGGAAUUAUUGGGCGUAAAGCGCGCGCAGGCGGUCAGGUAAGUCUGAUGUUAAAGCCCGGGGCUCAACCCCGGUUCGCAUUGGAAACUGUCUGACUUGAGUGCAGGAGAGGAAAGUGGUAUUCCACGUGUAGCGGUGAAAUGCGUAGAGAUGUGGAGGAACACCAGUGGCGAAGGCGACUUUCUGGCCUGUAACUGACGCUGAGGCGCGAAAGCGUGGGGAGCAAACAGGAUUAGAUACCCUGGUAGUCC
rnacentral:rRNA from 1 species